AUUAAAGAUUUUGGCGGUAUUUUAGUCCAUUCAGAGGAACCUGUCCUGUAAUUGAUAAUCCACGAUUUAAUUUACUUAUUUUUUUAGUUUGUAUAUCGUCGUGGGUUGAAUAUUUUAUAAGAAUUUUAAUGUUCAAUAAAUAUAAAUUUAUUUUAUGUCAGAUCAAGGUGCAGCUUAUGAAUAAGAAGAGAUGGGUUACAAUAAAAUUAUUUUUGGUUUAUUAGCUUUAAUGUUUUUAGUAAAUUGGAUUUGAAUGUAAUAUUUUUAAAUUUAUAGAUGUGAUUUUGGCUCUAAAAUAUGCACAUAUUGCCCGUCGCUCUCAUUUAAUAUGAGAUAAGUCGUAACAAAGUAGAUGUACUGGAAAGUGUAUCUAGAAAGAU
rnacentral:rRNA from 1 species